CCCCUCUCAGGGUCUCACCUGGAGAGUUUCCAGUACUCUACCAGUCUCGGCUACGGGAGGGAGAGUCAAGCAGUGACAUACCCAAUCCAUUCCUAGCUUGGCCAGUGCCUGGCAAGUGGAAGGCAUUCUGCUACAAGU
rnacentral:snoRNA from 1 species